AAAUGAAUUGACGGGGACCCGCACAAGCAGCGGAGCAUGUGGUUUAAUUCGAAGCAACGCGAAGAACCUUACCAAGGCUUGACAUCCCUUGACCGCCAUGGAAACAUGGCUUCCCUUCGGGGCAAGGAGACAGGUGGUGCAUGGUUGUCGUCAGCUCGUGUCGUGAGAUGUUGGGUUAAGUCCCGCAACGAGCGCAACCCUUGUCAUUAGUUGCCAGCACGUAAAGGUGGGAACUCUAAUGAGACUGUCGGGGACAACUCGGAGGAAGGUGGGGACGACGUCAAAUCAUCAUGCCCCUUAUGUCUUGGGCUACACACGUGCUACAAUGGCCGGUACAAAGGGCUGCGAAACCGCAAGGUGGAGCGAAUCCCAAAAAGCCGGUCCCAGUUCGGAUUGUGGGCUGCAACCCGCCCACAUGAAGCCGGAGUUGCUAGUAAUCGCGAAUCAGCAUGUCGCGGUGAAUGCGUUCCCGGGUCUUGUACACACCGCCCGU
rnacentral:rRNA from 1 species